UCUAUCUAUCUAUGGUAAACAAAUGUGUGUAGGUGUAAACACAAGGGGUGAUCCAGAACUACCAUAACCAUUUUGAUCAAGUCACAUAACCUAAGCUUACUCCAGUGCGCCUGUUUGCCUUAUGAGUGUCUAAAAGUCACUUUAGAUAAAGGUAUAAAAUGACACAUUUGAAUGAAUUUGCUCUUUAGGGACACUGUUAGCACGAGCCCUGGAAAUGGAGGAGUGUCCUACAGGUGGAGAAACUCCUGACCUCAUCUCUGUCCUCAUGUCACCAGGGAAACCAAGCUUGCCAAUGAGGGUGAUGAUGAAUGCCAAGACAACAGCAUGAGGAAACUCUGACCGACGUCAGUGAAAGUGCUAUCCUGGGAUUCUGCAUUCCCUCCUCCUGAUUACAAUUGAAAGACAUACAGUGACAGAUGUGUAUUACAGACAAGUGGGUGUCACUGUUUUUUCAAGGCUGUCUUUAAAUCAUCGAGUCACAACUAAAUCAUAUUCCACACCUGAGUGCCAGGUGUUCUGUUAACAGCGGGAUCACUCACAGCAGGAGCAGAUGUGCAGUGUAUGAGAGUUCACAUCAUCUCACCUGUGUUUCACUGACAGCUGAACAACUGUACUGGACAACACAACACACACUACAGAGUUUGUCACAUGGAGACACAGGCCGAGGUGACAGA